rnacentral:rRNA from 1 species
GACGAGCGGCGGACGGGUGAGUAAUGUCUGGGGAUCUGCCCGAGGGCGGGGGAUAACCACUGGAAACGGUGGCUACUGCAAUGUCGCAAGACCAAAGUGGGGGACCUGAAAGGGCCUCACGCCAUCGGAUGAACCACUCCGCUGGUAGGUAGGGUAAUGGCCUACCUAGGCGACGAUCUCUAGCUGGUCUGAGAGGAUGACCAGCCACACUGGGACUGAGACACGGCCCAGACUCCUACGGGAGGCAGCAGUGGGGAAUAUUGCACAAACUACCUGAUGCAGCCAUCCGCGUGUAUGAAGAAGGCCUUCGGGUUGUAAAGUACUUUCAGCGGGGAGGAAGGGUUUAGCCUGAACAGGCGGGAUUUUGACGUUACCCGCAGAAGAAGCACCGGCUAACUCCGUGCCAGCAGCCGCGGUAAUACGGAGGGUGAAGCGUUAAUCGGAAUUACUGGGCGUAAAGCGCACGCAGGCGGUCAAUUAAGUUAGAUGUGAAAUCCCCGGGACUUAGCCUGGGAAUGGCAUCUAAGACUGGUUGGCUGGAGUCUCGUAGAGGGGGGUAGAAUUCCAUGUGUAGCGGUGAAAUGCGUAGAGAUGUGGAGGUGCGAAGGCGGCCCCCUGGACGAAGACUGACGCUCAGGUGCGAAAGCGUGGGGAGCAAACAGGAUUAGAUCUAGUCCACGCUGUAAACGAUGUCGAUUUGGAGGUUGUGGCCUUGAGCUGUGGCUUCCGAAGCUAACGCGUUAAUCGACCGCCUGGGGAGUACGGCCGCAAGGUUAAAACUCAAAUGAAUUGACGGGGGCCCG